CUACGGGAGGCAGCAGUGGGGAAUCUUGCGCAAUGGGCGAAAGCCUGACGCAGCAACGCCGUGUGGGGGAUGAAGGCUCUCGGGUUGUAAACCCCUUUCAGCAGGGACGAAUUUUGACGGUACCUGCAGAAGAAGCCCCGGCUAACUACGUGCCAGCAGCCGCGGUAACACGUAGGGGGCAAGCGUUGUCCGGAUUUAUUGGGCGUAAAGAGCUCGUAGGUGGCUGAGUAAGUCGGAUGUUAAAUCCCCAGGCUCAACCUGGGACACCACCCGAUACUGCUCUGGCUAGAGUCCGGUAGGGGAGCGUGGAAUUCCUGGUGUAGCGGUGAAAUGCGCAGAUAUCAGGAGGAACACCAGCGGCGAAGGCGGCGCUCUGGGCCGGCACUGACACUGAGGAGCGAAAGCAUGGGUAGCAAACAGGAUUAGAAACCCUAGUAGUCC
rnacentral:rRNA from 1 species